rnacentral:rRNA from 1 species
UGGGUCAAUACGGUGUAUGAAAUUAAGUCUUGCUUGUCGUACCUAAUAAUACGGUAGGCUAAUUAAUUAAUAAGGCGAAGAAUCCUCUGGACUCUUCUCAUUUUGCAGUGCCGAGCGCAGACCUACAGUUAGUACAACAACAUGUCGAUAAAAGACGACUGUACUUCGUGGUUUGACGACGACGAUGCAUGCAAGGACAGCAAUUCCUCGACAGUAGCAGCCGAUGCAGCAAGCACUGCACCUGCACCAUCAUCGUCAACGAACCAUACCACAACGCGCCCCA